AUGGCCAUCGUAACCCCACGGCGGAUGCUGAUCUUCCAGAUUAACAAAAAACUUCCAGCGCUGAGUUCCAGUCAACUGCAGUUGGUUGCCAGCUCAGUCGAAGAUGGCAGCGAGAGCACUGAGAGCUUCAGUGAACCAGAGCUGUACGACUUCAUUCUCGACUACACCAGGAGCGAGAGGUUGAAAGCGAUGGAAGAUGAAGGCAUGGCUCAACUCCUCUCCCUCCAGGACCUGCUGCAUGAUCUGACAUUGACAGACGCCAGGUCUGGUGAGGUUGGUGUUUCCACCGUUCAUAUGAAUGGUGCGGGAGACAUGCACACACACACGUCACCAAUGGACAACCAUGCACCUGACAAUCCAGAGAUGCCAGCCCAGCUGACUGUUGCUGGAUCCCGCAGUGUCCACCAUGGUCGGUCAAGCUUAUCCUCCACUGUAACAGAGCAGGUUGUAAGGUUGUCUGACGUUACUGCUCUGCUUCCACGCAGAGAGUGUAAAAUGCACGGUGGUCAGAUAUCUGAUACAGGUUCUGACAUGUCUUUUAAGGGUCUUUGUAAGCAGAUUGACACUGCUUUACAAGAAGGGUUUAGUGAGGCUGAGAUCAUUAGAGCAGUUCUUAAAGUAAUUAAACCAGGUACAUUUAGGGAAAUGCUAACUAACAAUGAUGAUCUAACAGUUAAUGGGUUAAAGAGGUUCCUCCGCUCUCACAUCAGAGAUCAAAGUGUAACCGAGCUCUUCCAAGAGUUAAGUAAUGCCAGACAGCACGACAGGGAGAGUCCACAGCAAUUUCUAUAUAGGCUUAUGGGGUUAAAGCAGAGAGUUAUUUUUGAGUCUAAGCAGCCUGGUGUAGAGUUUAGUUACGACAGGAGGCUUGUACAGGGUACCUUUCUUCACACACUCUACCAAGGUCUAAACGAGAGAAACAGCUACGUUAGACAUGACAUCAAAACGUUUCUUGCUGACCAGCAGAUUAGUGAUGACUUUCUGUUAGAACAGAUGACUAGGUCCAUGACUGAGGAAGAGGGGAGGUUAAAGCGCCUGGGUGUUGUAUCUAAGUCUCGACCAGUGACUGUAAGUGUUGCCCAACAUGACGGUAAUGGACAGACUGACAUGAAUACACCGACUCUAGUUGAUGCCGAGUUAGAGGCUAAUCGUGAUGCUAUUAGACAACUGACUGCACAAGUGUCUUCUCUGACCAGACACAUGACCCUCGUUGACAGGACUGCAGAAUGCAUACAGUCUGGCGGCCCUAGUACCUCAUUUAGUCGUCCGCAGCUACUGUCAGUCGACAAAAAGGGUAGAUGCCAGGAUUGUAUAACAAGCGGAACCAUGGGCUGUCCCCAUUGUUUUAUCUGUGGCCAGGCAGGACAACGAGCCAUCGGCUGUUUACAAAGAAGGUCAUCGGGAAACGGGAAGCGGUCACAGGAAAAGGGGCAGCCAGUGAUCAUAAACAGUGUUAAGCCCACAUUUAAGAUCAAGCCGUCAGCCACACCAUGCCAAUCAGACCCAAAGAAACGCAUUGCACAGCUCAUAGGGAAACGUUGUACCGUCUCUUGCAACAUCAACGGUGUGCCUAUAGAAAUGCUUUUAGACUCAGGUGCUCAGGUGACGAUGGUCAGCAAAACCUGGAUAGACAGUGCAUCACCCCGUGUCAAAAUCCAACCACUUCAGUCCCUCUUUGCCGAUCAGUCCUUUGAAAUAUCAGCAGCAAAUGGUACACAAGUUCCACUGGAUGGAUGGGCUGAGGUUGACUUGCAGAUUUGUAGUGAGCGCCAUGGGUCUUUUAUAAUUAGAGUGCCCCUUCUUGUCAGUCGGAGUUGUCACUGUCCCCUGUUAGGUAGCAACGUUAUAGCCGAGAUCGUCAACGACCAUGACAAUACCCUUAAUGUGACUGCGAUCCUGACUGAUGCUUUGAGUGUCCCUGAAAACACAGUUGAGGCUUUAGUCUCUGCCCUACAGAUCACAACCAGUGACGAGACGGCAUUAUGUACGGUGCGCAUAGGCAGGCAAGGUGUCACUAUCCCUGCUGGUCGAGUCUAUCAAAUACUUUGCCGGGUUAGGGGGUUAUCAGGGAAUCGUACCAUGCUGUUCCAGCCUCUCAUAGAGAACACCUGCCCUGAGGGUCUAGAACUGUUUCCUGCCCUAGUCGACGUUCCU
ensembl:lncRNA